GACAGAGGGUGCAAACGUUGUUCGGAGUUACUGGGCGUAAAGCGUGUGUAGGCGGCUAGGUAAGUCGGAUGUGAAAGCCCCGGGCUCAACUCGGGAAGUGCACUCGAUACUGCUUAGCUCGAGUACCGGAGAGGUUGGUGGAAUUCUCGGUGUAGAGGUGAAAUUCGUAGAUAUCGAGAGGAACACCGGUGGCGAUGGCGAUCAUCUGGGGUUGUUCUGACACUGAGGAGCGAAAGCUAGGGGAGCAAACGGG
rnacentral:rRNA from 1 species